ACAACCAUUUACAACCCACCUAAAUUAGAAAAACAAGAAGAAUAGCAAAUUAAGACACGCAGAUCAAACUGAGAGGUAGCUUUCAGUCUGCUCCCAUCUUCUCGGUCAUCCGCCGGCAACCACCAACCAAUCCGGCCAUUAUCCUAAUCCCUCAAUCCUCUCCGGCGAUCUCCGAUUAUUAUUCACACAACACACUAUUCACCGGUCAAAUUCUUCUACCACCACUAUCUAAACAUCCAAUCGUAGGGUUUCAAACUCAAAUUUAGGGUUUUACUCACAGAGAAUUGUAUUAUAACGAAUCGGUUUAUUAUGAUAACUCGUUCGAAACUCGUGGAGCAACUCAGAGAUAGCCAGAUCCGAUCUCAGCACAAGUGGUCUCCUCUCGUUAUCUUCUCCCCCAAGCCAAAUAUCUCCAAUUGGGUGGAUGUUGCGGUGGCAAUCUUGUGGGCCACACUGUUCAUCGUGCUGGUAAUAUCGUCAUAUAUGGCCCUCUACGCGAGACAUUUCUGGCUUUCGCUUGCUAUAAUUUGUGCGGUUGUUUUAGUUCCUAUACGGUUGCGGAUUUCUAGGCAGACUAUUACUAGGAAAAAAGAUAGAAGGUUGCUGUUGCCUUUGUCCAUGUGACUGAGCAUAUCCUUGCAUGAUUGAUCAAACCCAGUAAUUGAUUGGGUGCAACGAGUGUUACAAAACAUAAUUUCUUUACCCUUGACUUGUAUAUUUGACCUGGAUUUCAUGUUACAAGUUUCUUAUCUAGGCUUAGGAUUUGUUUAGUGAUGUCCUCACUACCGAAUUCUGGUACCCCAACGCGAUUUCAUCACUUUGCGAGUCCCACAACUAA